AUGGAGGAGGAGGAUGAAGAUGGAGGACAGGAGCACCAGUAUCCACAGCAUCCUGAGGAGGAAACAUCAACAGAGGACAGAGACUUCUAUUCACCAAAACAAUACAGGAGCACCAGCAUCCACAGCAUCCUGAGGAGGAAACAUUACCAGAGGACAGAAAGACUUCUAUUCACCAAAACAAUCAAUAGUUUUGCUUCAGAGGAGAAUCCGACAGUUCCAGAUGUUCGUCACCAGCACUGCAGUGUUUACACAGACUGCUUUGGUUUCAACUUUCUACAAAAAACUGUUGAAUUUUCAACUCACUUUCCAUCUGAAUCCAAGCUCAUCUUCAUCACUGGGAUGUUUCUUCAUCAGUUCUUCGUACAGACUGACACAGCUCACACAUGGAGAAGAUGAUUUAUGGAAUAUGACAUUUAGAUUUUUCCUUUUCUCAACAGUAUGAUGCAUACAUCCCAACCCAAAUUUCAUGCAUUUUUUUGGCUUAACUUGAGCCAAUUUCCAUCAAUAAAUUGCUAAUGUAUUAUUAUUGACUAUUACUA
rnacentral:lncRNA from 1 species